CGAGCCGCCUCUGAGCCCAAAUACAGCCCAGACAAUGACCAGACCGGUUUCAAAGGUAGGCCAACAUGUUGGUAAGAGAGGGUGCUAUGAUCAAGGAUGGCUUUAGACACAGACCUGAACACAAACAUGCUAGAGGCCAGAAAUGUGACCAAGACGAUUUUUAUUCCGUCAUGGCAGCAGGUGUGGAAGAAAGUUGAAAAUUCCCCCAGCAGUAACUGGAAUUUAAGCACCUGCUGGAGAAAACGAAGGCCUCAAUCACGACAAUGGACUGAAAAAUGAUAUUUAGCGGUGGGAAAUCUCGUCUAGUUCAAACAAACUGGGCUCUACAGAAACGGAUCGGGGCGAACCGCUGACCAGCUGCUGGGAAACAACCGAUCAUGUUCCCCGCAGGAGCGCUACCAGGUUGCCGUGACGACAACACUUCGGUGGGGAAGCUAUAGGAAGACUCGGAAGUUUACCGUUUUUGUUGUUGUUUUUCCAGUGAGCUGAUUAAAAAUGAAACAUCGUUUGAA